GACGAACGCUGGCGGCGUGCUUAACACAUGCAAGUCGAACGGAAAGGCCCUGCUUUUGUGGGGUGCUCGAGUGGCGAACGGGUGAGUAACACGUGAGUAACCUGCCCUUGACUUUGGGAUAACUUCAGGAAACUGGGGCUAAUACCGGAUAGGAGCUCCUGCUGCAUGGUGGGGGUUGGAAAGUUUCGGCGGUUGGGGAUGGACUCGCGGCUUAUCAGCUUGUUGGUGGGGUAGUGGCUUACCAAGGCUUUGACGGGUAGCCGGCCUGAGAGGGUGACCGGCCAAAUUGGAACUGGGAUACGGCCCAGACUCCUACGGGAGGCAGCGGUGGGGAUUAUUGCACAAUGGGCGGAAGCCUGAUGCAGAAACGCCGCGGGCGGGAUGACGGCCUUCGGGUUGUAACCGCUUUCGCCUGUGACGAAGCGUGAGUGACGGUAAUGGGUAAAGAAGCACCGGCUAACUACGUG
rnacentral:rRNA from 1 species